rnacentral:lncRNA from 1 species
GUCGUAUUGUCUGCAAAUUGUGAUAGUAUCACCUCAGGAUUCUUUAAGUCAAUACUGGCCAUUCCUACUUCACCUCUGGCAAGGCCUCUUCCUUCUACUACAGCUACAAUAACUGAUGCAGCAGUAUGAGCAGAGGCUGUAGAUGAUGAUGUAACAGUUGGUGAUCAGAAGUGUUGAAAUAGUUUUAGACCUUCUUUAAGCAAACAUACAGAGAUUAUCAAAGAC